rnacentral:rRNA from 1 species
GACGUAGGGUGCAAGCGUUGUCCGGAUUUACUGGGCGUAAAGAGCGCGUAGGCGGUUCGUUAAGUGUAGAGUGAAAUCUCUGGGCUCACCCCAGAAACUGCUCUGCAUACUGGCGGACUAGAGGGUCGCAGAGGCUUGUGGAAUUCCCGGUGUAGCGGUGAAAUUCGUAGAUAUUCGCAAGAACACCAGUGGCGAAGGCGGCUCACUGGCCCGGUACUGACGCUGAGGUGCGAAAGCGUGGGGAGCAAACAGG